CGAAGGGGGCUAGCGUUGCUCGGAAUCACUGGGCGUAAAGCGCACGUAGGCGGAUCUUUAAGUCAGGGGUGAAAUCCCAAGGCUCAACCUUGGAACUGCCUUUGAUACUGGGGAUCUCGAGUCCGGAAGAGGUUGGUGGAACUGCGAGUGUAGAGGUGAAAUUCGUAGAUAUUCGGAAGAACACCAGUGGCGAAGGCGACUUACUGGACACAUAUUGACGCUGAGGUGCGAAAGCGUGGGGAGCAAACAGG
rnacentral:rRNA from 1 species